ensembl:lncRNA
CUCCUCUUUUGCUUCUCACAGUUUACACUUUCCUGACCUGACAAUAUCUUGUUUUCUUCUUCUAAUUUACUACUGUUUUCCUGUAUGUUAAAUGUACAGAUAGUUGUUUUUUCAUAUUUUUUCCAAUUGAAAAUUUAAAAGGACUUUGAGAUCAUAGAAAGGUUCCUUAAAAGGGGAAAUGAGCAAUUUGAGAAGGAAUCACUGAAGCUCUAUGUUGACCAACUUCAUAUAGGUGAAUCAAAACAGGAGUGCCGACUGCACCACACAGUGUGGCGUCAUCCGCAAACUUACUGAAGGUGUGCUCGAUCCCACUGUCAAUGUCACUGAUGAAGAUGUUAAAGAGCACUCGUCCCAAAGCUGACCCCUGAUGGACACCACUCAUCACUGAUCUCCAUCCAGUCACUGAGCCAUUGACCACCACUAUCUGGGAUAUCCACACUCGGCCCUCUGAGUGGUUUAAAGGCUGAGACCUGGGACUCUUCAGCCUGGAGAAAACUGAGAGGUGAUCUUAUCAAUGCUUAUAAAUAUCAAAAGGGCACAACUCCAGUGGAUGGGGCCAGGCUCUUUUCAACAGUGCCUAGCAACAGAAUAAGGGACAGUGGGCACAAACUGGAACACAGGAAGUUCCAUACAAACACAAGGAAAAACCUCUUUCCUCUGAAGGUGACAGAAUACUGGAACAGGCUGCCCAGAGAGGUUGUGGAGUCUCCUUCUUUGGAGAUAUUUACCUGGACAUUUUCCUCUGCAACCUCCUCUAGGGAACCUCAUUCAGCAGGGACUUGGACUAGAUGAUCUCCAGAGGUCUCUUCCAACUUCUGUGGUUCUGUAAUUCUGUGACUGUGAUCGUCAUCCUAUUGAAAGAAAUAAAACUACUUCU